GGUCAAGGUAAAGAUCCAGGAAAUUCAGCAAGUUGUGCAGUGAACAGUAGUGUACUAUAACCUUAUGAAAUGCUUGGAUGGAAUCUGGAUGAGUUCUGGCAUUACUAAUAGGCAGUACAGAUUCUGACCAGCUAUCAGCGGGCUCAUCCGUCAGUAAAGAUUUAUGAACAUCACGAAUAAAACCUGACUGAGCAAGAAGAGCCACAAU
rnacentral:misc_RNA from 1 species